rnacentral:lncRNA from 1 species
UUUAAGACUGUAAAAUAUGCCAAAUAACAGUUAACCGACAAACACACUAGACUCGGGCUCCAUUAGCGACCUUAAGCAAUUUCACACAUUCGUUGAUUCAAGAAUUAUCGUUUUAUCAUUAUUGAACUUUAAUACCGUGAUAGAAAAUAGGGUGAGGGAUCCUUACUCGUUUCGGGGUCCGAACACGGCUUCACAGUGCGCCUACAGGCUGUCCCUAAUUUUUCCUGAAUUUUUUCCGGGGAACUAAAAUGCACUACUGGUACCUGCACGUGUUCCAAAAAAUCCCAAAUUAGACCCAAGGCCCCUUUCGGCCAAUAUCACAAUUCCGGCACGGCGGCUCCGCCGUGCUCCGGCGACGACGCCGCCGCUUGCGGAGGCGAUUCGCCUCGGGUUGGCCGU